UAGGACUCUCGGCAAUGGAUAUCUCGGAAAUGCGAUACGUGGUGCGAAUUGCAGAAUCCCGUGAACCAUCGACUCUUUGAACGCAAGUUGCGCCUGAGGCCAACUGGCUAAGGGCACGUCNGCCUGGGCNUCAAGC
rnacentral:rRNA from 1 species